rnacentral:rRNA from 1 species
AGCAGCCGCGGUAAUUCCAGCUCCAAUAGCGUAUAUUAAAGUUGUUGCAGUUAAAAAGCUCGUAGUUGAAUUUCGGGGUUAGUAGGUUGGUCAUGCCUCUGGUAUGUACUGGUCUCACUGAUUCCUCCUUCCUGAUGAACUUUAAUGCCAUUAAUUUGGUGUUUUGGGGAAUUUGGACUGUUACUUUGAAAAAUUAGAGUGUUUAAAGCAAGCUAACGCUUGAAUACAUUAGCAUGGAAUAAUGAAAUAGGACGUUCGAUCCUAUUUUGUUGGUUUCUAGGAUUGACGUAAUGAUUAAUAGGGAUAGUUGGGGGCAUUAGUAUUCAAUUGUCAGAGGUGAAAUUCUUGGAUUUAUUGAAGACUAACUACUGCGAAAGCAUUUGCCAAGGAUGUUUUCAUUAAUCAAGAACGAAAGUUAGGGGAUCGAAGACGAUCAGAUACCGUCGUAGU